UGGGGAAUAUUGCACAAUGGGGGAAACCCUGAUGCAGCGACGCCGCGUGAGCGAAGAAGGCCUUCGGGUCGUAAAGCUCUUUUAUGAGGGCAGAUAAUGACGGUACCUCAAGAAAAAGCCCCGGCUAACUACGUGCCAGCAGCCGCGGUAAUACGUAGGGGGCUAGCGUUGUCCGGAAUCACUGGGCGUAAAGGGUUCGCAGGCGGAAUAACAAGUCAGAUGUGAAAGGCAUGGGCUCAAACCAUGUAAGCAUUUGAAACUGUAAUUCUUGAGAAGUGGAGAGGGAAGUGGAAUUCCUAGUGUAGCGGUGAAAUGCGUAGAUAUUAGGAGGAAUACCUGUGGGGAAGGCGACUUACUGGACACAAAUCUGACGCUGAGGAACGAAAGCGUGGGUAGCAAACAGG
rnacentral:rRNA from 1 species